rnacentral:tRNA from 1 species
GCGCCCGUAGCUCAGCCGGAUAGAGCAUCAGCCUUCUAAGCUGAGGGUCAGUGGUUCGAAUCCACUCGGGCGUACAA